GUCCUUGCCGUAAACGAUGUAUACUUGAUGUAGUUAGGCUCAACCCUGACUGUGUCGAAGCUAACGCGAUAAGUAUACCGCCUGGGGAGUACGCUCGCAAGGGUGAAACUCAAAAGAAUUGACGGGGGCCCCUCACAAGCAGUGGAGCAUGUGGUUUAAUUCGAUGCAACGCGAAGAACCUUACCCAGGCUCGAAAUGUAAUGGACGAUAUCAGAGAUGAUAUUUUCCGCAAGGACCGUUAUAUAGGUGCUGCAUGGCUGUCGU
rnacentral:rRNA from 1 species